ensembl:snoRNA SNORD15 Small nucleolar RNA SNORD15
CUUCAGUGAGGAUACGAUGACGAGUCUGAAGAGGGCCGAGUAGGUCUGGGGUUUAGUCCCACAGCCACGUUCUGUGUCUUUGGGUCCAGGCUCCAGAGCCUCUCACCUUAGCUUGAUGACAUCGAGGCAUUUGUCUGAGAAGG